AGUGGGGAAUCUUGCGCUAAUGCGCGAAAGCGUGACGCAGCGACGCCGCGUGGGGGAUGAAGGCCCUCGGGUUGUAAACCCCUUUCGGCAGGGACGAAGCGAAAGUGACGGUACCUGCAGAAGAAGUCCCGGCUAACUACGUGCCAGCAGCCGCGGUAACACGUAGGGGACGAGCGUUGUCCGGAUUUAUUGGGCGUAAAGCGCGCGUAGGCGGCCCGGAAAGUCGGUUGUGAAAUCCCGGGGCUCAACCCCGGGACCGCGUCCGAUACUUCCGAGCUCGAGGCAGGUAGGGGAGAUCGGAAUUCCUGGUGUAGCGGUGAAAUGCGCAGAUAUCAGGAGGAACACCGGUGGCGAAGGCGGAUCUCUGGGCCUUGCCUGACGCUGAGGCGCGAAAGCUAGGGGAGCGAACAGGAUUAGAUACCCUGGUAGUCCUAGCCGUAAACGUUGGGUGCUAGGUGUGGGCGGACAUCGACCCCGUCCGUGCCGAAGCUAACGCAUUAAGCACCCCGCCUGGGGAGUACGGCCGCAAGGCUA
rnacentral:rRNA from 1 species